rnacentral:ncRNA from 1 species
GGAGUUAGGUCCUCCAGAGUCUGCUGUCGGAAGCCGACUCUAAACCACUUUCAGGUGGCUGCUAUUAAGAGUAAUGGUCAGAAGCGUUUAAAGAAAAUCAGAAUAAGAAUUCUGGCGAGG